GUAGGUGGCAAGCGUUGUCCGGAGUUAUUGGGCGUAAAGCGCGCGCAGGCGGUUCUUUAAGUCUGAUGUGAAAGCCCACGGCUCAACCGUGGAGGGUCAUUGGAAACUGGAGAACUUGAGUACAGAAGAGGAAAGCGGAAUUCCACGUGUAGCGGUGAAAUGCGUAGAGAUGUGGAGGAACACCAGUGGCGAAGGCGGCUUUCUGGUCUGUAACUGACGCUGAGGCGCGAAAGCGUGGGGAGCAAACAGGAUUAGAUACCCUGGUAGUCCACGCCGUAAACGAUGAGUGCUAAGUGUUAGGGGGGUUUUCCGCCCCCCUUAGUGCUGCAGCUAACGCAUUAAGCACUCCGCCUGGGAGUACGGCCGCAAGGCUG
rnacentral:rRNA from 1 species